UUAGUUUGCAUUUCUAACUAUCAC
rnacentral:siRNA from 1 species